GCCAGCGUUCGUCCCCCGCAGCUGCGCCCUGAGGCGGGGCGGGGCGCGGACCAAUAGCGGAGCGGCUCAGCGCCCUGCAGCGCCGGCCAGUCGCACGUGCAUCCGCCUCACGGCACGGAAAGUUCCAGCAGCAGCUGCACGCGGCAACCAGGGGACGGCGGCAGCGCGGGGACCGCGAGGUGCGGCUUUCUUGAGCGCUUUUUGGCUUGGCUGGCCAAACACACAGAGCUGAGCCCAUCUCCUAACAAGGCCAGGGGGAGUUUCAGCUGAGACAGCCUUCAGGAUCUGACCUAUUUCAUCUGUGACACACAGCACCGUGAACUCUUGCCUGCCAAAUUCCAAGAGCUUGAUUUUUUGGAAGAAAAAAAGUGUAUUUCUUGGCCUCUUCUAUUUUCUUAAAUGAAUGCAGGCUUUUACUAAAGCUGCAGUGACACCUGUGGCAGUACCUGGACUGUGGUGAUGCCAUGCUCCCGACCCACCAGAACUCGGCCAUC